rnacentral:rRNA from 1 species
UACAGAGGAGCCAAGCGUUGUCCGGAUUGACUGGGCGUAAAGCGCACGCAGGCGGCCGGGCGCGUGGGGUGUGAAAUCUGGCCGCUUAACGGCCAGGCGCCAUCCCAUACGGCUCGGCUGGAGGGCUGCAGAGGUCGAUGGAAUUGCCGGUGUAGUGGUGAAAUGCGUAGAGAUCGGCAGGAACACCCAGGGGGAAACCAGUCGACUGGGCAGCACCUGACGCUGAGGUGCGAGAGCGUGGGGAGCGAACCGG